rnacentral:rRNA from 1 species
UACGAAUGUUUCUAGCGUUAUUCGGAAUUAUUGGUCUUCAUGUGUGCGUAUGUGUUUUUUUAUUUCUUUGUGUACAUCUCCGGGCUCAACUUGGGAAUGGCAUUGGAUACUGGACGGCUAGAGUGAGGUAGAGGGUGGUGGAAUUCCCGGUGUAGCGGUGAAAUGCGUAGAGAUCGGGAGGAACAUCUGUGGCGAAGGCGGCCACCUGGACCAUCACUGACGCUGAGGCACGAAAGCGUGGGGAGCAAACAGG